rnacentral:RNase_P_RNA from 1 species
AGAUGGCCGGAUGGUUGCGGCGGGUGAAACACCUGUCGAGGAAAGUCCGGGCUUCACGGGAACACGGUACCGGAUAACGUCCGGCGGGGGCGACCCCAGGGAAAGUGCAACAGAAAGCAAACCGCCAAAGCCGUUGCAGGCCGGCAAGGAUGAAAGGGUGCGGUAAGAGCGCACCGCUUUCCCGGCAACGGGAAAGGCACGGAAAACCCUACCGGAAGCAAGACCAAAUCAGGUGCGCGGAAACGCGAAAGGGGACGUUCCCGUCCCUCGCCGCAGGUAGGUCGCUACAGACGUUCGGCAACGGGCGCCGCAGAAGAAUAACCAUCGAUUACAGAACCCGGCUUACAGGCUGUCUGG